AUCGUGCGUUCGUCGGUUCAUUCAUAGGGGCCCAGUGAAUGGCGUAGUGAGUCCCAACCGUGUAGUACUCGUAGUGCUUGCCCCGAGCGGGCCCGUUUCUCCGUUGCUUCUCAGAUAUCUCAUACUUCUCAUUAUAUCUCUGUCUUUGAGAUAUCAUAUGUGAUGAGUACUCUCAUAAUCUAUUACAUUAGCUCGUACUGUAUUUCGUGUAACAAUUGAAUAAGAUACAGCGAAUGACGUCAGAAGUUGAUUCCCUAGGAUAUGUUUUUUGCAGUAUCUUCUUACAAGACCCUGAGCUUCGUGUCUUCGUGAAUUUAAUUAUCUUUUUAUUUUUGGCGGCUAUUGAAGUAUACUACGAAACAUUUAAAAUCCACAAAGAUACAUAUAACCUCUUCUUUUUUAUACGUCUAGUAUAGGAGGCUGGGUCCAUAUUGUUUUUCGUACCGGUUGGAUCUCUAAUGAACUGGUUGGACCGCAGGUCAAACGUAGCAUAAUCGCCUUAAAAUCUCAAGUUAAGUUCGCCUGCCAUGUAUGGCGCCGGCUAACGGGUAGCCGAAACCUGUCCGAGUCAUGUCCGACCUUUACGAAAGUCGUAUCGAAAGAACGCGUAGCUAUAUAUAAUAUAGUAUAUUAUAUAUGUAUAUAUAACUAUAUGAACAUAUGAAAAUUAUGCUCUAUGGGUCAUGAAAAUAUUUGUAAGUUCACGUACGACACUCCCAUAAGGAUCGACGUAGAAUUCUGCAUUACCAAUAUACAUACAGAACGUAUAUAUUCCAAAGAUGCAAUAUAAGAUGCUUGUGCAGCAUCCUACCGUAUCGAGGAACUAAGGCCCAUUUCUAUAGAAAUUUUUGCGAUCGUUACCCUUCGGACCCAUGGGGAGCCGAAAACAUCUGCCUUGAGAUUCUUACGUUACUCUGGGCCUCCCUGACGUGGGACUUGCACGAAUUUACCGAUACCUGCCUUUACAAGGUAGCUGUGAAAU